UGUGUAUGUAUGUGUGUAUUGGUGUGUAUUAGUGUGUAUUGGUAUGUAUGUGUGUAUUAGUGUGUAUUUGUGUAUUGGUGUGUAUUGGUAUGUAUGUGUGUAUUAGUGUGUAUUGAUGUGUAUUGGUAUGUAUUGGUGUGUAUUAGUGUGUAUUGGUGUGUGUGUGUGUGCGCGCGUGUGUAUUGGUGUGUAUUAGUGUGUAUUGGUGUGUGUGUGUGUGUGCGUGCGCGUGUAUUGGUGUGUAUAUGGGUCUGUAUUGGUAUCUC
ensembl:lncRNA